rnacentral:rRNA from 1 species
GACGAACGCUGGCGGCGUGCUUAACACAUGCAAGUCGAACGGAAAGGCCCUGCUUUUGUGGGGUGCUCGAGUGGCGAACGGGUGAGUAACACGUGAGUAACCUGCCCUUGACUUUGGGAUAACUUCAGGAAACUGGGGCUAAUACCGGAUAGGCGCUCCUGCUGCAUGGUGGGGGUUGGAAAGUUUCGGCGGUUGGGGAUGGACUCGCGGCUUAUCAGCUUGUUGUUGGGGUAGUGGCUUACCAAGGCUUUGACGGGUAGCCGGCCUGAGAGGGUGACCGGCCACAUUGGGACUGAGAUACGGCCCAGACUCCUACGGGAGGCAGCAGUGGGGAAUAUUGCACAAUGGGCGGAAGCCUGAUGCAGCAACGCCGCGUGCGGGAUGACGGCCUUCGGGUUGUAAACCGCUUUCGCCUGUGACGAAGCGUGAGUGACGGUAAUGGGUAAAGAAGCACCGGCUAACUACGUG